rnacentral:rRNA from 1 species
UAGCUAGUUGGUGAGGUAACGGCUUACCAAAGCGACGAUCUGUAGCGGGUCUGAGAGGAUGAUCCGCCACACUGGAACUGAGACACGGUCCAGACUCCUACGGGAGGCAGCAGUGGGGAAUUUUGGACAAUGGGGGCAACCCUGAUCCAGCCAUGCCGCGUGAGUGAAGAAGGCCUUCGGGUUGUAAAGCUCUUUCGGCCGGGAAGAAAUCGCAUGGGCCAAUACCCUGUGUGGAUGACGGUACCGGAAUAAGAAGCACCGGCUAACUACGUGCCAGCAGCCGCGGUAAUACGUAGGGUGCGAGCGUUAAUCGGAAUUACUGGGCGUAAAGCGUGCGCAGGCGGUUUUGUAAGACAGGCGUGAAAUCCCCGGGCUCAACCUGGGAACUGCGUUUGUGACUGCAAGGCUAGAGUACGGCAGAGGGGGGUGGAAUUCCACGUGUAGCAGUGAAAUGCGUAGAGAUGUGGAGGAACACCAAUGGCGAAGGCAGCCCCCUGGGUCGAUACUGACGCUCAUGCACGAAAGCGUGGGUAGCAAACAGGAUUAGAUACCCUGGUAGUCCACGCCCUAAACUAUGUCAACUAGGUGUUGGGUGGGUAAAACCAUUUAGUACCGUAGCUAACGCGUGAAGUUGACCGCCUGGGGAGUACGGCCGCAAGGUUAAAACUCAAAGGAAUUGACGGGGACCCGCACAAGCGGUGGAUGAUGUGGAUUAAUUCGAUGCAACGCGAAAAACCUUACCUACCCUUGACAUGCCAGGAACUUGCCAGAGAUGGCUUGGUGCCCGAAAGGGAGCCUGGACACAGGUGCUGCAUGGCUGUCGUCAGCUCGUGUCGUGAGAUGUUGGGUUAAGUCCCGCAACGAGCGCAACCCUUGUCGUUAAUUGCCAUCAUUUAGUUGGGCACUUUAGCGAGACUGCCGGUGACAAACCGGAGGAAGGUGGGGAUGACGUCAAGUCCUCAUGGCCCUUAUGGGUAGGGCUUCACACGUCAUACAAUGGUCGGUACAAAGGGUCGCCAAGCCGCGAGGUGGAGCCAAUCCCAGAAAGCCGAUCGUAGUCCGGAUUGCAGGCUGCAACUCGCCUGCAUGAAGUCGGAAUCGCUAGUAAUCGUGGAUCAGCAUGUCACGGUGAAUACGUUCCCGGGUCUUGUACACACCGCCCGUCACACCAUGGGAGCGGGUUCCGCCAGAAGUAGGUAGCCUAACCGCAAGGAGGGCGCUUACCACGGCGGGGUUCGUGACUGGGGUGAAGUCGUAACAAGGUAGCCGUAGGGGAACCUGCGGCUG